GGGGACGGUCCCCAGAGACCUCAAAGCAAAAAUGACGUCCAACUCGUCCACACCAUCGAUACGAUGAAAUAAAAUCAUGAAGGACUAUAUGAUAAAAUAAAAUCAUAAAAGACUUUAGGAUGAAAUAAAAUUAUGAAAGACUGUAUGAUGACAUAAAAUUAUAAAAGACUAUACGAUGAAAUAAAAUCAUCGAUAGUUGCGUGAAACCAUAAAGGACUAUGCGGAGAAAUAAAGUCAUGCAAAGUCAUAC
rnacentral:lncRNA from 1 species